rnacentral:ncRNA from 1 species
AAGUAGGGUAAUCGCCAUUGAAACUUAAAGGAAUUGACGGAAGGGCACCACCAGGAGUAGAGCCUGUGGUUUAAUUUGACUCAAUACAGGGAAACUUACCAGGUCCAGAUAUAGUAAGGAUUGACAGAUUGAGAGCCUUUUCUUGAUUCUAUGGGUGGUGGUGCAUGGCCAUUUUUAGUUGGUGGAGCAUGUAGAUCACAAAUUUUAAAAAAUUUAUAAAAAUACCCCCAAGAGAUGGACUAUAUAACGUUUUAUUCAUAUAUUUUGAUUUAAUUUUAAUAUAACUAUCCAAAGACAUAUGAUCACUAAAUACUUGCAAAUAAGUAAAAUAUUAGGAAUUAUUGAAAUCGCUUUUGACCCUGCACCCAUCCACA